GACGAACGCUGGCGGCGUGCUUAACACAUGCAAGUCGAACGGAAAGGCCCUGCUUUUGUGGGGUGCUCGAGUGGCGAACGGGUGAGUAACACGUGAGUAACCUGCCCUUGACUUUGGGAUAACUUCAGGAAACUGGGGCUAAUACCGGAUAGGAGCUCCUGCUUCAUGGUGGGGGUUGGAAAGUUUCGGCGGUUGGGGAUGGGCUCGCGGCUUAUCAGCUUGUUGGUGGGGUAGUGGCUUACCAAGGCUUUGACGGGUAGCCGGCCUGAGAGGGUGACCGGCCACAUUGGGACUGAGAUACGGCCCAGACUCCUACGGGAGGCAGCAGUGGGGAAUAUUGCACAAUGGGCGGAAGCCUGAUGCAGCAACGCCGCGUGCGGGAUGACGGCCUUCGGGUUGUAAACCGCUUUCGCCUGUGACGAAGCGUGAGUGACGGUAAUGGGUAAAGAAGCACCGGCUAACUACGUG
rnacentral:rRNA from 1 species